GCAUCUAAAAUGCCAAGGAAAAAAUUUGCCAUCUCUCAUGAUCCCCCCAGGACUCCUCCCCUCUCGCGAGCCCCCCACGAGUCCUCGCCGCCGCCACCUAUGACGGUCGAUCCCGGCCGAUCCAGCAGCCGCCGCUGGCGCCCAGCACACCCACGGGAUCCGCUUGCUCUGCUCGUCCAUUCCCUCCGACCAUAUCCGAUGCGCGGUUUCUCCUGCGGCCACACGUGACCCACCCUGGCGGCUAGGGUUUUGGCCACCUUGUCGCCGGCGUGGCUCCGACGUUGCUCCGGCGAUAGGGUUUGCGGUUGGAGAGACAAGAGCCGACCAUCGAUGGACGCUAGUCAUGGGACUUGAUGGAGGAGGAGAGGAAUUGACACCGGGAGGCCCUCACCGACUCCCUCACGCGCAGCAUGGUCGAGCUGGCAAACAACGAAUGUCUGGCUCCACGAAUAAGCGUCGGAGACGAGGAGCUCCUCAACCAUGCUGAUGCAACCAAGGCGUGCUGCUUCUCCAUGACCGCGGCAGCCAUGGUGUUGGUGAAGGAACACAAUAAUACAUCUGUAUGUAACUUGAUUAUGAAAAGAACAGCAAGGCGGCUGAGGAACCAGCAGGGGUACUCAUAAGGCAGCUGCAUAGUAGAAAGUAUUAAAAGAGUGCAAAUCAUGUGGCUUACUGCUUGACUAAUUGAACACCUGCUGCUGGCUGCUGCUACUGUUGGACAAGGUUACCACACAAAAUAAUGAAGUGGAAACCCUGCAAAGAGACAAGGAGGUACUGAGGACCAAUCUAAACAAAACAGAGGAGGUAACAUGUUAUCUCACUCUUGUACUUGCAACACGUAUGUUCUGUACCUGCAACUUAUCGCCCUCUCAGUGAACAUUGCUUCAUGCAGCACUAAUGUAGGCCUGAAAGUUUGAAGUUUCUUUAGCGUGUUUCAUUCAAGGUUAAGUUGUUAUUCGAGGAGAAUAGAGCUCUUGACGAAGCCAACAAGAGGCUGCUGUGCUUACUAGAGAAGGAGCAGAGAGAUCGGUCCGAAAGGAAGCAUUCGCUAGCAAUUCCACCAAGUAGAAGCGCAAGUCGUCGAGCCUGAAGGACACGAGCCCGGUCGGCCUGGCCAUCGAUUUCAACAACACAGACGCAUCGAGGCAGUCGUUGUCCCCCUUGCAGCCAAACUCGGUCAUGUAGCCUGCAUUUUCCAUUUUCCACUUCCUAUUGGUAGCUGCCUGUGUCUAUCAUGAUCCUUCCCCCCUGCAAUCUAGUCUAGUUUAAAAUAUCCAUUUCUUUGUCUGCUAUUGUGAGCUCUUCCCAUUGGGAAACUUGGCUACCUGCCCAUAUCAGUAGAUGAACUAUACUAUUAUCCACUGCUUUUAAUCAGCUGAUGAUGCAUAUUCAGUUUGGCUGAUUUUGUUACAUACA